GGAAAAAAAACAUGACUUUGGGAUAACUUCAGGAAACUGGGGCUAAUACCGGAUAGGAGCUCCUGCUGCAUGGUGGGGGUUGGAAAGUUUCGGCGGUUGGGGAUGGACUCGCGGCUUAUCAGCUUGUUGGUGGGGUAGUGGCUUACCAAGGCUUUGACGGGUAGCCGGCCUGAGAGGGUGACCGGCAACAUUGGGACUGAGAUACGGCCCAGACUCCUACGGGAGGCAGCAGUGGGGAAUAUUGCACAAUGGGCGGAAUCUUUUUGCAGCAAUGCCGCGUCCACCAAGAUCUACACGUGAGG
rnacentral:rRNA from 1 species